rnacentral:rRNA from 1 species
GACGAACGCUGGCGGCGUGCUUAACACAUGCAAGUCGAACGGAAAGGCCCUGCUUUUGUGGGGUGCUCGAGUGGCGAACGGGUGAGUAACACGUGAGUAACCUGCCCCUGACUUUGGGAUAACUUCAGGAAACUGGGGCUAAUACCGGAUAGGAGCUCCUGCUGCACGGUGGGGGUUGGAAAGUUUCGGCGGUUGGGGAUGGACUCGCGGCUUAUCAGCUUGUUGGUGGGGUAGUGGCUUACCAAGGCUUUGACGGGUAGCCGGCCUGAGAGGGUGACCGGCCACAUUGGGACUGAGAUACGGCCCAGACUCCUACGGGAGGCAGCAGUGGGAAGUAUUGCAGAAUGGGCGGAAGCCUGAUGCAGCAACGCCGCGUGCGGAAUGACGGCCUUCGGGUUGUAAACCGCUUUCGCCUGUGACGAAGCGUGAGUGACGGUAAUGGGUAAAGAAGCACCGGCUAACUACGUG